rnacentral:lncRNA from 1 species
CAGACUCCAUCCUCUGAGGCUCCUCUACAACUGGACUCUGAAUGGAGAUCCACUGAUGGAUGGAAACAGCAGCAUUGAUCUGGAUGAGGGGAUGAGGGGAGACAUCAGCUGCAGCGUGAAGAACCACGUCAGUCACGCACAGAACACCAUUAGACUCAAACCCUGUGCUGGUGAGAUCAGUUCUGUUCAUCUACAGAUAUCAACUACACAGACUGAUUGAUUGAUUGAUUGAUGUGUUUGUGUUGUUCAGUGUGUUCAGUGUCUGUGGUGUUUGUGCUGGUCUGGUGUCUUCAGCUGAUGGUUCUGUUGGGUCUGUUAGGAGGUUUUCACAUCUACAUGAGACACACGUCAGGAAAGAAGCAGGAAGAUCAGAAAGUGAGGAUGAGAAGAUUUAGAGAAGGACCUGAACACACAGCAGAAGAUUCAUGAGAGCAGCAGCAGAUCUUCACAUCUGUGAGA